rnacentral:tRNA from 1 species
GGACCAUUAGCUUAGUUGGUUAAAGCACUCGGCUCAUAACCGAGCGACCCAAGGUUCGAGUCCUUGAUGGUCCA